GUUCACAGCCUUCAGAUAAUUGCUCGAGUCAUGGUCUCUGAGAAUUGUACCACCAGAACCAUAUGCUGUAGGGACACUUAGAAUCUCUAAUGGGUGUGGAGAAUUCAAAAAAACUCUGAAAGCUCUCCUAGUAAAUGCACAAUUGGUGCUGUCUAGGGAAUAAAUGCCACUGCCUGGAGGAAGCAGAGGGUGAGGGGCAGAUGACCU
rnacentral:misc_RNA from 1 species